rnacentral:rRNA from 1 species
CCUACGGGAGGCAGCAGUAGGGAAACUUCGUCAAUGGGCGCAAGCCUGAACGAGCAAUGCCGCGUGAACGAGGAAGGUCUUCGGAUCGUAAAGUUCUGUUGAAGGGGAAAAAGAGCGGAGAGAGGAAAUGGUCUCCGAUUGAUAUUACCCUUCGAGGAAGUCACGGCUAACUACGUGCCAGCAGCCGCGGUAAUACGUAGGUGGCGAGCGUUAUCCGGAAUGAUUGGGCGAAAAGGGUGCGUAGGCGGCCUGCUAAGUCUGGAGUGAAAGGUACCGGCUCAACCGGUACAGGCUCUGGAAACUGGCGGGCUAGAGAGCAGGAGAGGGCGGUGGAACUCCAUGUGUAGCGGUAAAAUGCGUAGAUAUAUGGAAGAACACCAGUGGCGAAGGCGGCCGCCUGGCCUGUUACUGACGCUGAGGCACGAAAGCGUGGGGAGCAAAUAGGAUUAGAUACCCGUGUAGUC